UGGGAAGCUGGCCACUGACAGAUCUUGGC
rnacentral:piRNA from 1 species